UACGUAGGGGGCAAGCGUUGUCCGGAAUUAUUGGGCGUAAAGAGCUCGUAGGCGGUCUGUCGCGUCUGCUGUGAAAACUCAGGGCUUAACCCUGAGCUUGCAGUGGGUACGGGCAGACUAGAGUGCGGUAGGGGAGACUGGAAUUCCUGGUGUAGCGGUGAAAUGCGCAGAUAUCAGGAGGAACACCGGUGGCGAAGGCGGGUCUCUGGGCCGCAACUGACGCUGAGGAGCGAAAGCGUGGGGAGCGAACAGG
rnacentral:rRNA from 1 species